rnacentral:rRNA from 1 species
UACGUAGGGUGCAAGCGUUAAUCGGAAUUACUGGGCGUAAAGCGUGCGCAGGCGGUUCUAUAAGACAGAUGUGAAAUCCCCGGGCUCAACCUGGGAACUGCAUUUGUGACUGUAGAGCUGGAGUACGGUAGAGGGGGAUGGAAUUCCGCGUGUAGCAGUGAAAUGCGUAGAUAUGCGGAGGAACACCGAUGGCGAAGGCAGCCCCCUGGGCUGACACUGACGCUCAGGCACGAAAGCCAGGGGAGCAAACGGG